CUGCACGCGGGAGGCUGUGAUCCGCCGGACGUACCGACUGCGGCCACCGCAGUCCGGCGGGGAGCCACUGGUGAGACCGGCCCCCGAAG
rnacentral:ncRNA from 1 species